rnacentral:misc_RNA from 1 species
AACGCACAUUGCGCCCCCUGGCAUUCCGGGGGGCAUGCCUGUCCGAGCGUCAUUGCAAACCCUCAAGCCCGGCUUGUGUGAUGGGUCGCAGCGUCCCCGACUCUCCAGGGGACGGGCCCGAAAGGCAGUGGCGGCGUCGCGGUCAUCCGAUCAGCCGAAGCGUAUGGGGACUCUCCGUCACACGCUCAGCGGCGCGGACCGACGCCCGCCUAAAGGGAUUGCCCCUUAAAGGCGUCUUGUACUUUUCCAAGGUUUGACCUCGGAUCAGGUAGGGAUACCCGCUGAACUUAA